rnacentral:sRNA from 1 species
GGCAGACUAAGACCGCAACGUCCUGUUGCAACGUCUGCACUAGUACGUCCUGUA